GCCUAAUACAUGCAAGUCGAACGCUUCUUUUCCACCGGAGCUUGCUCCACCGGGAAAAGAGGAGUGGCGAACGGGUGAGUAACACGUGGGUAACCUGCCCAUCAAAAGGGGAUAACACUUGGAAACAGGUGCUAAUACCGUAUAACAAUCGAAACCGCAUGGUUUCGUUUUGAAAGGCGCUUUACGGUGCCGCUGAUGGAUGGACCCGCGGUGCAUUAGCUAGUUGGUGAGGUAACGGCUCACCAAGGCCACGAUGCAUAUCCGACCUGAAAGGGUGAUCGGCCACAUUGGGACUGAGACACGGCCCAAACUCCUACGGGAGGCAGCAAUAGGGAAUCUUCGGCAAUGGACGAAAGUCUGACCGAGCAACGCCGCGUGAGUGAAGAAGGUUUUCGGAUCGUAAAACUCUGUUGUUAGAGAAGAACAAGGGUGAGAGUAACUGUUCACCCCUUGACGGUAUCUAACCAGAAAGCCACGGCUAACUACGUGCCAGCCGCCGCGGUAAUUCGUCGU
rnacentral:rRNA from 1 species